GCCCCCGUAGCCCAAUUGGCAGAGGCAGUGGAUUCAAAACCCACACAGUGUGAGUUCGAGUCUCACCGGGGGCA
rnacentral:tRNA from 3 species